rnacentral:lncRNA from 1 species
AGAAAUUAAAGGAAAAUUACAGAAAUUAAAGGCACUCACUACGAGGGGAGAGGUCGGCAGGGAAAUGUGGCGACGAGGCGGCGGCAAGGCAACGGCGGAGCAAAAAUUGAGUUUUCAGCCAACGAAACCGGCGAGCAAAGGUGGAAUGACGACAAAGGAACGGCGGCGGAACAGGUCCCUAACAGUAGAGAGAGAGAGAGAGAGAGAGAGAGAGAGAGAGAGAGAGAGAGAGAGAGAGAGAGAGAGAGAGAGAGAGAGAGAGAUAGAGAGAGAGAGAGAGAGAGAGAGAGAGAGAGAGAGAGAGAGAGAGAGAGAGGAGUU